rnacentral:lncRNA from 1 species
CCUAAUUUCACUUUGAUUAAUUAAUUCAUUAAUUUCUUUUUUUUAACAAAUAUUUAUUGAGCCCCUACCAUGCUCUAGUCAUCCUAAGAAAUGGGAUGAAGCUACAAUUAAAAGAGAGAGAAGAUCCUGGCUUUAUGUACCAUUAUAAAGCUGAGCCCUUUCAACUCACUGGGAAGAGCCUGGUGCUUGAGAUCUGAAGGUCAUGAAUUCUAUCGCACUGGCAGGUUUCAUGGAUGUGGUUAGCAGAUGACUGUGAAGCCUGUAUUCUUUGUAUAUAGGGUCACAGAUCAUUAAACAUCACUUCCAUUAACAUCUGCUUCUGUCUUUCAACAAUAAUGUAUGUGAGCCAAUGGAAUGUCUUAACAGGGGGAAAGGUAACAAAUAUCUUGGCCCUGCUUCACAGACAUAUUUGCACACAUACACACAGAAAAUAUUAAUGGCUGUACCUUAAAUGAUCAUCACAAGAAAGAUUUUUCCCUUGGAUGCUAUAUAAAAAAUAUGACUAAGAGGAAUUGAGAAAAGUAAAACUCCCUUUCUUGAGACCCUGUUAAUGUUUCAUUCAUAAUGUCCCUCUUCCCUCUCGCUUCUGUCGUGUCCUAUGGCAUACCCAUCAUAGGUGUGCUGGACAAUUGCAUCACCUUUGAUCUAAUCCUUGCAUCUCUAAUGUGUCUCUAUUAUAUUGGUUUGUUUAUAGCACUUUGUUAUCAGCCUCCUGCUCCAAAUCCAUCAAUGCUCCCUUUACUGACACAAAACAUUCAAAUUCCUUACUGUCAUAUUCGAAGUUCUUUACAAUGUGAAUUAAACCUGUCUUUUAGUUAUUAUAUCUUACUGCUAUGCUACAUACACUCUCUUCUUUAGCCAGCUAAGUCACACCAUGGGAGAGGGUGUUGCAUAGCCAAUGCUUAGGGUGUAGAGUUUAAUGCGCCUGAAAGUUUUAACACUAGCUUUGCCUCUAAUCGUGCAUUUCUAAAAAUUAUUAAAUUUUGUGUCUCUUCUUCACUGGGGACAACCACCAACUUUGCUGGAUAAUGAACUAAUGAAGGUAAAGAGCCUACAUGGCGCUUGAGCCAUGGGAGAUGUUUUAUAAAGGAAGCUGGUAGUAAUGGCAAUAGUGGUGGCAAUUCUGCCAGCUAGUAGUUUUCAAUCAUUUUUGUUACUCAAGUCCAACCCUUCAGUUAAGUUACAACAAUAUUCCUCCCUGUCUUAUGAGUUUUUUCAUGAUUAUUAUCCAGCUACUAAGGUUUUUUUUGCCCUCCUUAAUUUUAC